AUUGAACGCUGGCGGCAGGCCUAACACAUGCAAGUCGAGCGGCAGCGGGAAGUAGCUUGCUACUUUGCCGGCGAGCGGCGGACGGGUGAGUAAUGUCUGGGAAACUGCCUGAUGGAGGGGGAUAACUACUGGAAACGGUAGCUAAUACCGCAUAAUGUCGCAAGACCAAAGAGGGGGACCUUCGGGCCUCUUGCUAUCAGCUGUGCACAGAUGGGAUUAGCUAGUAGGUGGGGUAAUGGCUCACCUAGGCGACGAUCUCUAGCUGGUCUGAGAGGAUGACCAGCCACACUGGAACUGAGACACGGUCCAGACUCCUACGGGAGGCAGCAGUGGGGAACAUUGCACAAUGGGCGCAAGCCUGAUGCAGCCAUGCCGCGUGUAUGAAGAAGGCCUUCGGGUUGUAAAGUACUUUCAGCGGGGAGGAAGGUGUUGAGGUUAAUAACCUCAGCAAUUGACGUUACCCGCAGAAGAAGCACCGGCUAACUCCGUGCCAGCCGCCGCGGUAAAAC
rnacentral:rRNA from 1 species